CUCAGGAUACUGGAGCUGGUCUAUACAGUGGUUAGGUACUAAGAGCUGUUGUGUUUUAUGAGGCAUCUUUUUCUUCUUGUCUUUCACAUUAUAUUUCUUGAGUUUUGGUAUGCUUGUCUUGUUUCUCGCGUCGCUGGCAAGAGGACGGAGGUCUUGACAAUUCUUCAAAAUUGUGCUGUAAGUGAUGAAAAUUCAAAUUUUAUUUUAAUGAUUUUGCAUAUUUACUGAUUGUAGCAAACCUACGAAUACUUGCUCUCUUGCUUACGCUAGCAGGUACUCUGUAUAGCUUGUUGCGUGUUUUACAGUCUGUGAGUGACAAAAAGAGGGAGAGUACAUAUGAAGAAGAGAAAUAGAGCGGCAGAGGAAGAGAGUGCGUAUGAAAUUUUACCUCAUUAUUUAUUAUCUGUGUUGUAUACUUCUCAUUUAUUCUUUCAAUUGUUGCAAUAUUUGCAUCUUCAGUAUGAUGAAAUGUUCCCUUCACUAUUUAGUUAUCAUCCUGAUAUAUUUCCUCC
rnacentral:lncRNA from 1 species